rnacentral:lncRNA from 1 species
GUAAAUUAUGUCUGUAUUUGUAAUUUACAAAUAUAGCAGAUGUUUGUUCUGUAUUGCAAAAACAAAAUAAUUAUGGAAAACAUUUUAAGUAAAAUCAGAUUUAUGGAAGUCAGAUAUAUAUAAACCAGAAUAUAUAUAUACAAGUGUGCAAACAACAGAAAAAUAUGGGUGAGGAUGAAACUGAAUCUGCAGAGCUUGAUUACUAUAUAAUUUGAACAAAUGCUGAAAUAAUAAGCAGAUAAUUGUGGCAAAUUAUCUGAAAGCUGAAUUGGUAUGGAAGAUUGGUUAAGAUAUGGUGAUAUUACAGUGAAUGACAGGAGCAAUGGAUGAACAUUUGGACAGAGAUUUGUUUUAAACAUUUUCUUCAAACAUAAGAUUAUCAUCUAUUACUAUAUAUGAAAAAAUGAAACAAAAAAUCAUGGGAAUAUAAUUAGAAUGCUUUUUAUGAUGAAAGAUUAUAGAACAAGUGAUAAAUAGAGAGAUUGAUUCAGAUCAUUGUCUGGUGAUUUAAGGAUGAAUCUGAUGAGUGGAUAAGCAAAUGUAAGAACAAAAGAAAUAUGGAUGUACUGUAUAUAAAUGGAGGAUCUGCAUUUAAAAUGAGAAAUUGUAUGAGGAGAUGUGUGUUAAAGAGAAAGACUGUUGAUGAGAAUGAGAUAUGUCCAUGCAAUGUAGAGAUUGCAUGGACAUAUCUUAGAGUAUGUGUGUUGAGCAUUGCAAGAAAGAUAAUUGUUGAAGUGAGAUUAGUUAAGAAAAAAGGUGAUUUAUGAUGGAAUUAAGAAAAGAAAAUAAUAUAUUUGGAAUGCCUAAAUGGAAAUGUGAAUACAGAUGAUUAUAAGAGAUACAGACCUUUUAUAUUCAUCCAUGUGAGUACUCUUAUACUCAGAAGUAUAAUAGUACUUAGUAUAAGAUUAACUCAUAAAGGAAGAAUGCAUAUGUGUAAUGCAAGAAAGUAUAAAAAGAGUGGCAAGAGAGAAAGAGAAAUUAGAAGAUGCAAAGUAAUUUUGAGAGAAUAAAGGAUGCUUGAAAGUAUAUGAUAAGUUUGAGGAAGGAACAAAGUGGUAAUGCAUAUAGUAUGAAACAUAUGUAUGGCAGGAUCAUGUGAAAUGAAUGUAAUAUGGUUUGAUAGAUGGCAAGAAUAUUUUGAUGAGAUUUUUAAGCUAAAUAUGAAGGGGGAUGAUAAAGAAUGAAUUGGAAUGCUUGCAACCAAGAUUGAGAAUAAGAUAAAUGUAAUGGAGAGAUUAUCCAUUACAUUAUUCUUCCUUCCAGACUGAUUUGCUUAUGAAAGAAAGCAAAUCAGUCUGGAAGGAAGUUGUUAAUGCAAUUGAUAUAUUAACAAAUGAUAAGGAAUCUUGAAUGGAUAGAUCAUGGCUGAGGUGUUGAAAUGAAGGUUCCCACAUUGCAAAAAGCUGCUUUAUUACUUCUGUAACAAAUUCUCAAUUAACAAGCACUGAACGGCAGGCAUAAGUCAAGCAUAAACUUUAUAAAAGGCAAAAAACUGGCACUUCAUGCAAAGAGGGGC